UUUCCCUCCACAUGAGCACCAGGGGUAUGGAGCUCCCAGACUUAUUAACUACAGAGAGAGAGUAAGAGUCAGAACACAUUCAAUAAACUCCAGUGUGCUCAGGUGAGAGGAUAGGUGCCUGAACUCACAUCUGAAGAAGAACUUAGAGGAUGCUUUCUCACUCUGCUUCGUGCCCCUGACUAAGCAGUCCUGGACAUCCCCGUUACGGCCACGGAAUAACACAGGCAGCCUUGAUGGACCAGAAAUCCUCCUAUGUCCAUCAUUUGUACAAAGCAAACUGGCUUAAGACCUCUCGUUUCCUGCUGUAGUGGUAAUUUACAGACAUACAGAACUGCCAUCUAGUGACUAAGAAGAAAACAGCAAGGUGCUUUACAUGGAAAAUGAAAUUGUGGUGUCACAUUAG